AGACACACAUGGAGACCGGGGCAGAGGGGCUGUGUUUGAGGCAUGUCUGUAUGUUCCCCCUCAAAGGAAGGAAGAAAGGAGUACUCCUGUCUCAGGUGCAGGUGCAGUGGCGAAGCCUUGGCGGCAGGAAGCUCGCUCUGUCCCCUGGUCCAGCGGCAGGAACGGCCCCUCCUCCCGCAACUACUGGCCACGGGAGGGUCGGAAGUGGGCAAAGGGCAGCAGGCAGCGCAGCGAGCGUGGCUGAGGGUGAGGCUCCCUCACUGCGGAGAACCCCGGACACACACACACGCCGGGUGUGCCGGAGGGCUGUCCUUACAGUGCAGCCCACAGCGUACCCUCUGCCUGGUGCACGGCCCAGA